AACGAACGCUGGCGGCAGGCUUAACACAUGCAAGUCGAACGCAUCCUUCGGGGUGAGUGGCAGACGGGUGAGUAACGCGUGGGAACGUGCCCUUCAGUUCGGGAUAACCCAGGGAAACUUGGGCUAAUACCGGAUACGUGCGAGAGCAGAAAGAUUUAUCGCUGAAGGAUCGGCCCGCGUCUGAUUAGCUAGUUGGUGGGGUAAUGGCCCACCAAGGCGACGAUCAGUAGCUGGUCUGAGAGGAUGAUCAGCCACAUUGGGACUGAGACACGGCCCGAGCUCCUACGGGAGGGAGCAGUGGGUAAUAUUGGACGAUGGGCGCAAGCCUGCUCCAGCCAUGCCGCGUGAGUGAUGAAGGCCUUAGGGUUGUAAAGCUCUUUCGUCCGGGACGAUAAUGACGGUACCGGAAGAAGAAGCCCCGGCUAACUUCGUACCAGCCGCCGCGGUAA
rnacentral:rRNA from 1 species